rnacentral:tRNA from 3 species
GACCAGAUGCCCGAGUGGUUAAGGGGACAGACUAGAAAUCUGUUAGGCUUUGCCUGCGCAGGUUCAAAUCCUGCUCUGGUCG